GACGAACGCUGGCGGCGUGCUUAACACAUGCAAGUCGAACGGGUCUGCCCUGUUUUUUGCGGGGUGGGUCAGUGGCGAACGGGUGAGUAACACGUGAGUAACCUGCCCCUCACUUCUGGAUAACCGCUUGAAAGGGUGGCUAAUACGGGGUGUUCUGGCUGUGCCGCAUGGUGUGGCUGGGAAAGAUCCACUUUUGUGGUGUUUUGGUGGGGGAUGGGCUCGCGGCCUAUCAGCUUGUUGGUGGGGUGAUGGCCUGCCAAGGCUUUGACGGGUAGCCGGCCUGAGAGGGUGGGCGGUCACACUGGGACUGAGAUACGGCCCAGACUCCUGCGGGAGGCAGCAGUGGGGGGUAUUGCACAAUGGGCGGAAGCCUGAUGCAGCGACGUCGCGUGAGGGAUGGAGGCCUUCGGGUUGUGAACCUCUUUCGCCGGUGAAGAAGGUCCUGCUCUUUGUGGUGGGGUUGACGGUAGCCGGGUUAUGAAGCGCCGGCUAACUACGUG
rnacentral:rRNA from 1 species